AUGUGGGUUGAAACACUUCUUGAUGAACUAAAAGUUGAGAGACCACGUGUGUCAUAUUUGUGGUGUGACAAUCUUGGAGCAACAUAUCUGUCUGCGAAUCCUGUAUUUCAUGCCAGGACAAAGCACAUAGAAAUUGAUUUUCACUUUGUUUAUGAAAGAGUUGCACGGAAGCUUUUGGAGAUCAGGUUCAUUCCAACCGGAGAUCAAGUUGCAGAUGGGUUUACUAAACCACUACAAGUUCGACAGCUUCAAGCUUUUAAGAACAAUCUCAACCUUGACAUGUUAAGAUUGAGGAAGGAUGUUAAAAGAUAG
rnacentral:rRNA from 1 species